rnacentral:rRNA from 1 species
UACCCAGUGGCGGACGGGUGAGUAACGCGUGGGCAACCUGCCCCGUGCCGGGGGAUACCGCCUGGAAACAGGCGCUAAUACCGCAUAAGCGCAUACAGCCGCAUGGGUGUAUGCGGAAAGCUCCGGCGGCACGGGAUGGGCCCGCGCCCGAUUAGCCAGUUGGCGGGGUAACGGCCCACCAAAGCGACGAUCGGUAGCCGGCCUGAGAGGGCGGACGGCCACAUUGGGACUGAGACACGGCCCAAACUCCUACGGAAGGCAGCAG